AAAAAGUUGAAAAGUGGGUGGUGAGAUUUUUUUCCUAAGCAUCACAUGUAUUCCACCCAAAGUCCACAUCUCUUAUCUCCUUUUACUGCCCAAAAGUUUUCUCCCUUAUCCUAUUUUCUUGGCUGCAUCAGAUCAGAAAGUCCAGCUCCUUUUCUUCUUUCUCUAUUCCUCUUUCUGUGUUCUUCUUUCUCUCUUCUUCCUUUGCUCUUACAUGGCAGCCCUCCCUCCCUCACUAAAACAAUUUAUCCCUCUCUAAAGAAAAUUUAAAAGGUUAACACUAAAAUUUCAGUUUCAAAGUUUAUGGGUGUUAGCAGUUCCCCAGGUCUAAGCUCCUUCGACUGUAGGCUCUUGGUUCCUCUGCUUUCAGGUAAGGGAUAAGUUAUAUGAGCAUUUGGUAAGUCCUGAGGUUAUUUUAAAGUAAAUUAUGCAUUAAAAGUUUUUUAUUAGAGAUAUGACAUAUAAGCAUGUUUCAGAAAAAGAUAUGUUUGUGAGCUUUCGAAACCUUAUGUAUAUGAUUUAAGCAUAUUGAUGCCAUUACUAAUUUCCACGAACAUGAUGUUUAAAGAAAAGAAUGGAAAUGCUAUUAUUGUGAAAUGUUAUGCAAAAUAAGAAAUUUCAGUAUGAUGUAUACGUAUGAAAGGUUUUCGAGUUAUGUCCUCUGGUGAUCUGAAUUCGGCCAGUAAGGGUUAAUUAUUAGCUUUCCAUGGAAAAAUGUUAUAUGUUUGGCCAUUUAAAGUUGAGGAAAUGGGGUUACCCGUAACUCUAAUCUGAUUAAGGCCUUCUCCCCAGUGUUUACGGACGGCAAGGAGGAAUAAGACCUUGAGGAGAUGUUCCAUCGGGCCUCUCAAAGAGGACAAUAUCAUGCACACGAGGUCACCCAAAUGUGAUGAGACCUUCUCUGUACAGACUUAUCAGAUAUGGACUAACCAAUAUGUUAUGAACAACUAUGUUAUGUUAUUAAUCAUGAGAGAAUUAUUUUGUUUAAACGCAUUGUGAAAAGUAAAAGCUCUCAUGGCAAGAAGAAGUUUUUGAUGAAAAGAAAAGUUGUUCAUUAAAUAUAAAAGUUUCUGAAGUUCUGUUGUGCUUUAAAGAUAAAGCUUCUGAUGAAAGUACAAGUUUAUGUUUAAAAGUUAUUAGAUACCUGUUCUUUAUGAAACGUUAAGUUUUAUGACUAUGAAAGUUAUAAUAUUUUACGAGAAGAAGAUUAUAAUGAAAAGUUUUCUUAUUCGUCAAGAUGUUUCUAGUUUAAGAUAAAAUUACUGAUUAUUUGAUUUAAUUUAAAAUAAUUAUUUUGUAAUGAGAAUGCAUAUAUGUUGAUUUUAAACAAUCAAUAUUACAUUUGGUGACUUUGUAAGAAAUGAAAGAAAUUAAAUCCGAAAGAUUUUGGUAAUAUUAUUCUGAUAAGAAAAGGUAGAACAAUUAUUUUCCUAUGAAAAGCAUAUAAGUUAUUAUUAUGAAUAGUAUAAAAUACUAUGAAUGAAAAGUUGUUCUCCUAUUCGAAUAUUCAUAGAAUGAAAUGAUCUGAUUUACAUGCAUCCUUAUUAAAUUCUCAUAUAUAUUAUCUUUACUGAGCUGUGUAGGUCACCCCUUCCACUCUUUCAGUUAGCAGGUUUUAUUUUGGAGCAGAGGGAGUUUUAGUCGAGUUUUGGAAGGAGCUAGUUUUAGUUUUAAUGUAUAGAUCCUAAAUUAGCAAUUUGAUGUUUAGCUUUGUAGUAUUGUGUAUUUUAGGAUCUAAUGAAAGUUGUGUACCUUAAAGUAUUAAGAGAUGUAUUAUGUGAAAGUGUGGAAAUUAAAUGA